CUACGGGCGGCUGCAGUGGGGAAUAUUGCACAAUGGGGGAAACCCUGAUGCAGCAACGCCGCGUGGAGGAUGACACAUUUCGGUACGUAAACUCCUUUUAUAGGUCAAGAUAAUGACGGUAGCCUAUGAAUAAGCGCCGGCUAACUCCGUGCCAGCAGCCGCGGUAAUACGGAGGGCGCAAGCGUUACUCGGAAUCACUGGGCGUAAAGAGCAUGUAGGCGGGUUAAUAAGUCAGAAGUGAAAUCCAAUAGCUCAACUAUUGAACUGCUUUUGAAACUGUUAACCUAGAGUGUGGGAGAGGUAGAUGGAAUUUCUGGUGUAGGGGUAAAAUCCGUAGAGAUCAGAAGGAAUGCCGAUUGCGAAGGCGAUCUACUGGAACAUUACUGACGCUGAGAUGCGAAAGCGUGGGGAGCAAACAGGAUUAGAUACCCCCGUAGUC
rnacentral:rRNA from 1 species